UCAUUGCCUCCCCACUAUUACAGCAAACUACUGCCAAAUACACCCUUUAAAUUGUUUAUAUGCCUUCCCGUAUACUUCAAAAUUGUGCUGAAUUCAGUUCUUUUGAUUGCCAUUAAGUGAGUUGGCUAUAUUGGACAUCGAUCUGUUACCAUGACUCUGUUUGGCCGCGUAUCGAAGACUGCAUGGUGUCCAAACAGGAUGUACAAGACGACAUCGGGGCUGCCUUGAGACAAACGCUAACCUCGAAGGAAGACGAAAAUAACCAUACGGUUCCUGUAUCCGACGAGGCUAAAUUCCAACUCGAAAGCAUAUUUGUUUGAAACUGCUUCAGGCUCUAUUAAGAUACAUCCUAGUUAUUGUCAUUCAUAUUCAUAUUAAUUAAUGAUAUUUUUAAUUGAUAUUUAAAUGUAUGGUCCCUAUUACUAAAGUUUAAUAUAGGUCUAAAUGAAGUGGUAAUAUUUUAGGCCAUUAGUGUUACAGUACAAAACCAAACAAAGUCGUAAGUACAUUUUAUUUAAUUCCCAGAGUAGAAUUCAGGCAUGCAGUAUCUUGACUGUUUGAACGAGGAUAUGAGUUUGUUCACCACUAUUUUCUGUUAAAAAAAAACUAUAAAAGAAAACGCACAUCAAUAAUUUCCACAGUGUGUUUCGCAGGUGUAACCAAAGCCAUAUGCUAGCAUUACAUUUUUUUUUCAUAGAAAAUGCCUCAGCUAUUGCUCAAGGCACUGUGCUCUGUGAUGUUUAAUAGAACUCUGAACUGAAUUUCAGCUUUAUUGUAUUUCAAGGUACAACAAUUUAAUUGUCGAAUUACAAAUUGUCAGUAUUUAUAAAAUAA